CCAGACUCCUACGGGAGGCAGCAGUGGGGAAUCUUCCGCAAUGGACGAAAGUCUGACGGAGCAACGCCGCGUGAGUGAUGACGGCCUUCGGGUUGUAAAGCUCUGUUAAUCGGGACGAAAGGCCUUCUUGCGAAUAGUGAGAAGGAUUGACGGUACCGGAAUAGAAAGCCACGGCUAACUACGUGCCAGCAGCCGCGGUAAUACGUAGGUGGCAAGCGUUGUCCGGAAUUAUUGGGCGUAAAGCGCGCGCAGGCGGAUCGGUCAGUCUGUCUUAAAAGUUCGGGGCUUAACCCCGUGAUGGGAUGGAAACUGCUGAUCUAGAGUAUCGGAGAGGAAAGUGGAAUUCCUAGUGUAGCGGUGAAAUGCGUAGAUAUUAGGAAGAACACCAGUGGCGAAGGCGACUUUCUGGACGAAAACUGACGCUGAGGCGCGAAAGCCAGGGGAGCGAACGGGAUUAGAUACCCCGGUAGUCCUGGCCGUAAACGAUGGGUACUAGGUGUAGGAGGUAUCGACCCCUUCUGUGCCGGAGUUAACGCAAUAAGUACCCCGCCUGGGGAGUACGACCGCAAGGUUGAAACUCAAAGGAAUUGACGGGGGCCC
rnacentral:rRNA from 1 species